GCAGCGGUAGUUCAGUUGGUUAGAAUACCGGCCUGUCACGCCGGGGGUCGCGGGUUCGAGCCCCGUCUGCUGCGCCA
rnacentral:tRNA from 1 species